rnacentral:sRNA from 1 species
AGAACAUGAAAUACUCGCCCUCGGCAUUGCGCCCGACGGGUGCCCGAUGAACUGC